GUGCUCCCUCGGCAGCACAGAUACUGAAGUUGGACAACACAGAAAAGAUUACCAUGGCCCCUGCGAGAGGAUGACACACACCUGUGAAGUGUCCCAUGUUUUC